rnacentral:rRNA from 1 species
AUUCCAGCUCCAAUAGCGUAUAUUAAAGUUGUUGCAGUUAAAACGCUCGUAGUCGGAUUUCGGGGCGGGCCGACCGGUCUGCCGAUGGGUAUGCACUGGCCGGCGCGUCCUUCCACCCGGAGACCGCGCCUACUCUUAACUGAGCGGGCGCGGGAGACGGGUCUUUUACUUUGAAAAAAUCAGAGUGUUUCAAGCAGGCAGUCGCUCUUGCAUGGAUUAGCAUGGGAUAAUGAAAUAGGACUCUGGUGCUAUUUUGUUGGUUUCGAACACCGGAGUAAUGAUUAACAGGGACAGUCAGGGGCACUCGUAUUCCGCUGAGAGAGGUGAAAUUCUCAGACCAGCAGAAGACGAACCACUGCGAAAGCAUUUGCCAGGGAUGUUUUCAUUA